GCCUAUACAUGCAAGUCGAGCGGACAGAUGGGAGCUUGCUCCCUGAUGUUAGCGGCGGACGGGUGAGUAACACGUGGGUAACCUGCCUGUAAGACUGGGAUAACUCCGGGAAACCGGGGCUAAUACCGGAUGGUUGUCUGAACCGCAUGGUUCAGACAUAAAAGGUGGCUUCGGCUACCACUUACAGAUGGACCCGCGGCGCAUUAGCUAGUUGGUGAGGUAACGGCUCACCAAGGCGACGAUGCGUAGCCGACCUGAGAGGGUGAUCGGCCACACUGGGACUGAGACACGGCCCAGACUCCUACGGGAGGCAGCAGUAGGGAAUCUUCCGCAAUGGACGAAAGUCUGACGGAGCAACGCCGCGUGAGUGAUGAAGGUUUUCGGAUCGUAAAGCUCUGUUGUUAGGGAAGAACAAGUGCCGUUCAAAUAGGGCGGCACCUUGACGGUACCUAACCAGAAAGCCACGGCUAACUACGUGCCAGCAGCCGCGGUAAUACGUAGGUGGCAAGCGUUGUCCGGAAUUAUUGGGCGUAAAGGGCUCGCAGGCGGUUUCUUAAGUCUGAUGUGAAAGCCCCCGGCUCAACCGGGGAGGGUCAUUGGAAACUGGGGAACUUGAGUGCAGAAGAGGAGAGUGGAAUUCCACGUGUAGCGGUGAAAUGCGUAGAGAUGUGGAGGAACACCAGUGGCGAAGGCGACUCUCUGGUCUGUAACUGACGCUGAGGAGCGAAAGCGUGGGGAGCGAACAGGAUUAGAUACCCUGGUAGUCCACGCCGUAAACGAUGAGUGCUAAGUGUUAGGGGGUUUCCGCCCCUUAGUGCUGCAGCUAACGCAUUAAGCACUCCGCCUGGGGAGUACGGUCGCAAGACUGAAACUCAAAGGAAUUGACGGNGGCCCGCACAAACGGUGGAA
rnacentral:rRNA from 1 species